GAUGAAGAACGUAGCGAAAUGCGAUAAGUAAUGUGAAUUGCAGAAUUCAGUGAAUCAUCGAAUCUUUGAACGCACAUUGCGCCCGCCAGUAUUCUGGCGGGCAUGCCUGUCUGAGCGUCAUUUCAACCCUCAUGCCCCUAGGGCGUGGUGUUGGGGAUCGGCCAAAGCCCGCGAGGGACGGCCGGCCCCUAAAUCUAGUGGCGGACCCGUCGUGGCCUCCUCUGCGAAGUAGUGAUAUUCCGCAUCGGAGAGCGAUGAGCCCCUGCCGUUAAACCCCCAACUUUCCAAGGUUGACCUCAGAUCAGGUAGGAAUACCCGCUGAACUUAAGCAUAUCAAAAGCGGAGGA
rnacentral:misc_RNA from 1 species